CCUACGGGCGGCAGCAGUGGGGAAUAUUGGACAAUGGGCGAAAGCCUGAUCCAGCCAUGCCGCGUGUGUGAAGAAGGCCUUCGGGUUGUAAAGCACUUUCGGUGGGGAAGAAAGCCUUGGGGCUAAUACCCUCGAGGAAGGACAUCACCCACAGAAGAAGCACCGGCUAACUCCGUGCCAGCAGCCGCGGUAAUACGGAGGGUGCGAGCGUUAAUCGGAAUUACUGGGCGUAAAGCGCGCGUAGGCGGUCUGAUAAGCCGGUUGUGAAAGCCCCGGGCUCAACCUGGGAACGGCAUCCGGAACUGUCAGGCUAGAGUGCAGGAGAGGAAGGUAGAAUUCCCGGUGUAGCGGUGAAAUGCGUAGAGAUCGGGAGGAAUACCAGUGGCGAAGGCGGCCUUCUGGACUGACACUGACGCUGAGGUGCGAAAGCGUGGGUAGCAAACAGGAUUAGAUACCCCGGUAGUC
rnacentral:rRNA from 1 species